GAUGAACGUUGGCGGCGUGCCUAAUACAUGCAAGUCGAACGAAGACUGUAGUAAUACUGUCUUAGUGGCGAACGGGUGAGUAACGCGUGGGUGACCUGCCCCGAAGUGUGGGAUAACAGUCCGAAAGGAUUGCUAAUACUGCAUAAUAUCCAAGAGAUUAGAUGCUUUUGGAUUAAAGGAGUAAUUCGCUUCGGGAGGGGCCCGCGUCCCAUCAGCUAGUUGUAAGGUAAUGGCUUACCAAGGCGAUGACGGGUAGGGGACCUGAGAGGGUGGCCCCCACAAUGGAACUGAAACACGGUCCAUACACCUACGGGUGGCAGCAGUAGGGAAUAUUAGUAAUGGGCGAAAGCCUGAACUAGCAACGCCGCGUGUGCGAAGAAGGCCUUCGGGUCGUAAGCACUUUUGAGAGGAUGAGGAAGGACGGUACUCUCAGAAUAAGUCUCGGCUAACUACGUG
rnacentral:rRNA from 1 species